rnacentral:rRNA from 1 species
CCUACGGGGAGCAGCAGUGGGGAAUAUUGGGCAAUGGGCGCAAGCCUGACCCAGCAACGCCGCGUGAAGGAAGAAGGCUUUCGGGUUGUAAACUUCUUUUCUCAGGGACGAAGCAAGUGACGGUACCUGAGGAAUAAGCCACGGCUAACUACGUGCCAGCAGCCGCGGUAAUCCGUAGGUGGCAAGCGUUAUCCGGAUUUACUGGGUGUAAAGGGCGUGUAGGCGGGACUGCAAGUCAGAUGUGAAAACCAUGGGCUCAACCUAUGGCCUGCAUUUGAACCUGUAGUUCUUGAGUACUGGAGAGGCAGACGGAAUUCCUAGUGUAGCGGUGAAAUGCGUAGAUAUUAGGAGGAACACCAGUGGCGAAGGCGGUCUGCUGGACAGCAACUGACGCUGAGGCGCGAAAGCGUGGGGAGCAAACAGGAUUAGAUACACCUGUAGUC